rnacentral:rRNA from 1 species
GACGAACGCUGGCGGCGUGCUUAACACAUGCAAGUCGAACGCACCUUCGGGUGAGUGGCGGACGGGUGAGUAACGCGUAGGUAAUCUACUCUUCAGUGGGGGAUACCCAGCCGAAAGGUUGGUUAAUACCGCAUACGCUCCUGUGCAGAGAGGUACAGGAGGAAAGGUUUACUGCUGAGGAAUGAGCCUGCGUCCGAUUAGCUAGUUGGUGGGGUAAAGGCUCACCAAGGCGACGAUCGGUAGCUGGUCUGAGAGGACGAUCAGCCACACUGGAACUGAGACACGGUCCAGACUCCUACGGGAGGCAGCAGUGGGGAAUUUUCCGCAAUGGGCGAAAGCCUGACGGAGCGACGCCGCGUGGGUGAUGAAGUUUUUCGGAACGUAAAACCCUUUCGCCAGGGACGAAGCGAGUGACGGUACCUGGAGAAGAAGCAUCGGCUAACUACGUGCCAGCAGCCGCGGUAAU